rnacentral:lncRNA from 1 species
AGCAAAUUGCUGGUGAUGAUCUGUGGAUAAGGAAUGAGACUCGUGGUAGAGAUGGAAUUGGCGGACCGACUCUCAAAGCAAUGUGGUAGUUGAUUGCGAGAGUUGAGUCAUGGUACUUGGGGAUCUCUUGAGAGUCCGAAAAUUUCGAAUAUUGUUCCGGUAGAUCGAAUAGUGAAAGUAGAAUCACUAUUGAGAGAACGGUU